rnacentral:misc_RNA from 1 species
UCAUGAAAAAUUUUACAUGCAAAAAAAAGCUGCGUUUCGGCUACACUCUCCUUUAUGUUAGUUUUUUAAUGUCUAAACGGGUAUGUAUUUAAGUUAUUAGUAUUUCUAUUAACAACUUAGAACUUAAGCUUCUGUAAUACCCAAAAACUGUUAAUUUUAGAUUAAAAACUGAGUUAGAGGUUCGUUUUAAAAAAAUAUACAUGUUCAAAAAGCGACUAAAACUUGCUAAUACGCCAGAGUCAGAAUUUUAUCUAAGUGCGCUAUCGCAUGACCGAUCAAAGAAAAGAUAAAAUCUUUUAUACGAUUAUGGUGAUGAAAUUAAGAAAAUGUUCUGGCAGACCAUGAAAUUAGGUGUUUUGAAAGUUUCAUUGGAAAAGCCAUUGUUUGAUGAUUCUGACUCAGAAAUUGAAUAUCAAUAUCAUUCCACUGUUGAUAAUAUUACUGAAUCAAGUUUUACGAAAUGUGAUCUUAUUUUUAAAAAAGAAAAUGAGUUAGUGUGUUUAUCACCAAACAAAGAAACAGAGUUUAUUGCUGUACUUCCUAGUUUAAUUACAACUCCUAUAAUUGAAAGAUGUGCUUCUUGGGAAGAACUUAAAACUUUUUCAGAAGCUUCCAAUAGCGAUGUUCCUAAAGAAGACCUAAGACCUAGAAGAUCAAAUGAUUUUGUCAACCUUCUAAACACAUUACAACUGGAUGAUAUUGGAAAUUAUAUUAAAACUGACAAAAUCAUUUUAAUGAUUGGUUCUAGAUCUUAUAGCGCUCUUAAAAGAAAGAAAGAUAAAGUUUCAGAGACUAAAAAAUUGGUUCGUUCACGAAUGCGGUUAACUGCAAGAUUAUACUUAUCUUUUAAAAGUAUCUAUAACAAUCAGAAAGCUGUUAAACUAGAUAAUAUCUUAAAUAAUGCAGCUGACAAGUACUGUCGAGAAGUAAUCACCAUAGUUGGAGAAGCUAUUAAUUCUUUAUCAGAAAAAUCAAAUGAAGAUUCGGACCAUCUUUUAUUAAGUGCACAAAAAGUGGCUUAAAAAUCAGUAUACUUAAUUUAUUAAAGUUAACAGCAAAAUUUUUGAUCGGUUACUUUUUGGUCAAAAAUGAUGAUUUAAAGUCUCAGAGAGUAGUUGACUUUUUAAAGGUUUUAAAGCUUUAUGAGGAUGAUUUAUUUGGUGAUGCUUAUUAUAAUCUAAAUUAUCGUAAGAAUAUUGAUUUGCAGAAACCAAUUAAUCUCCCAAAUGAAGCAGAUGUUCAACUGCUCAUUGAGGAAUGUAACAAAAUUAUGAAUUCUAUUGAUGAUUUUCAACAUCCAUGUGAAUCAUUUGUCACUAUCUGAUCUGCCACUGCCACAUGUUUGACUAUAUUUAAUGCCAGACGAGGUGGAGAACCAGUGCGGUUACACUUAUUUCUGUGGAAUGAGGCUUUAAACAAGAUCUGCCUGAAGAAUUUGAUAUUGAGCAAAUGUUUAUCACUUAUCAAACAGGAAAAGGUUCAGAUCACACAGUUCCUGUUCUUUUUCCACCAGAAUGCAUAAAAGCAAUGCGAUAUCUGACAAACAAAGAAGUUAGGAAAAAUGCUGGAAUUCCUGAUGAAAACCAAUAUAUUUUUGCCAGUACUCAAAAAAGCAUGAGCCAUGCUUGUGGUUGGCAUUGCAUAAACGAAAUAUUAAUUCGUUUAGAUAAAAAAGGUGCAAUUAAUGCCACCCAAAAUCGACAUCGUAUUGCUACAAUCUUGGCAAAGCUGGAGCUAUAAGAAAAGGAAAAAACUUUAAUUUAUAAUCACUUUGGACAUUCAGAAAGAAUCAAUCAAAAUGAUUACCAAGCUGCUCUUGGAUCCUUACAAAUAAAAACAGUCAAAAGACUAAGAGAUAUUCAAGAAGUGACCAAGGUUAAUCUAACUCCAUUUAAGUCAAUUAUUUCUAAUUCAGCUGAACAAGACUAUAGCACUAUAGGAGAACAUGUAAUACCAACUGAUGUUGAGUUGAUAACCAAAAAUGAUAGUAAACUGAAUAGUGGUUUAAAAAUAAGACCAGUCCUUGAUUUAAAAAAAGUUAUAGAAAGUGAAACUUGAAGAAAAAAGUAUCCUAAAAGAUCUUUCCAUGAAGUUGAUUUUACAAAGAUAUCUGGAAAUAAUAGUAAAGUGGAUGGUGAAAUAAAGACAAAGCAAGUGCUAAAACUUGAAAAAGAAAAGGCGAUCAAUAAAAAGAAAAAUUUAACAGUUGAAAAAAAAUCAUGGAAUAAGUCUAGUAAAGUUGCGUUUAACAAAGAAUUUGCACUUCAUCUUAAAAAUAAUCGUGGAUAUCUAGACCGUAAAGAAAUGGAGGUAUUUGCAGAAAAAUUUUGUUUAGACCUCAAACAAAUCAGAAUUAGAAUUGUUAAUACUCGAAGAAUAAAACAGAGUUUUCAGAAGAAGACAGUUGCAUUUAUGGGAAUUGACGAAUGCUACUAGGUUGCUUUUAUGCCCUUAGCGGGCUGAUUUGACAAAAGGAAGCCUGCUACCAAAAAAUUAAAUGUCAUUUAAUAUCAUUAAAUCUGUAGAUCAAUACGCGUUAUUUUAGCAUAUAAGUAUAGUAUAAAUAGUAUAAACCUAUUUCCUAAAAAUAGGUAACUUGCUCUUUCUAUUAAAAUUUGUGUUAAAACUGUAA